rnacentral:rRNA from 1 species
UAAACUAGGCCUAUGCUGUUCCAUGGAGCUCACUGCUAGGCUAUGGAGGCAUUGGCUUUUCUCCUAUGGCUAUAGCUGGUUUCCUUGGAGGCGCAAAUCUUUUGCCAAUUGGCGCCAGCCUGACAGGUUACUUCUUGUAGUGAUUUCCGGAUAAGGCAGAUCAUUUUGACACCUCUUAAAAAUGUUGCACAAAAUAUCGGGGUGGGCUAUGCCUUGGUGCUCAGCCGCCGCGGCUAAUAUCAGCACCCGAGUGGAUUGGGACGACUUAUUGCGCCUUAAAGCCAUCCGUAGCCAGGCUUCAAUUAAGCCUGACUCUUUAAAUUCACUCCUGUUUAACCAGAUGGCGCUUGCGAGCACUAUUAAUCAAGCUAUGGAACGCGCGAAGAGGUCAAG